GCCCUGACUGCUACCCAUUGUCCCUGGGAAGAGAAAGGCGGAGAGGAGACAAUGGGACCUUCCACAAUAGGCAGCCAGAUGAUCACCCCCAGAUGCACCUGGGAUGGAGGGAGGCCUGGCUCAGCUCCUGAAAGCCUGUUUGCCCGAUGGGGAAGGGAGAUUAAUGCUGGACAGUAAUCUCACCCUUAUUGCCAGGACGUUGAGUCCUGCCUGCAUGUUUAUCCCAGCCUCUGGCAUUUAUAGGAGCAACCAGGAUUUCUAUGUUCCUGUGGAGCCCUGAGCUCAGAGCCCUGCCCUCCUUUCUCCCCUACACACACACCAGGUCAUUAUUAAUUCAUAAUCAGGCCCAAGCUCCUGUUCUGAUGUUUUCACACUUCCCAGAACCUCCAUGAUCAAUGGCCCUUCCAGAGGAGCAGGAAAAAGGGGAGGAAGUCCAACUCUGAGGUCCCCAGCCAAAGAGCCAUAGAAUCAUCGAAUGUUAGAUCCAGAAAUUUAUUCCCAAUGUGGAUGCUUAGAACAAUGUCAGUUCUAGAAAAGCUCUCCGAAGUUGCCUGCUCCAACCCUUGACUUUUCCAAAUGAACAAAGGAAGGCUCAGGCUGGUUAAAUAAUUUGCCCAUGUCCACUGCUUCCUGAUCCAAUGCUCUAUACGCCGUGCCAGGCUAUGUCCAACAAUGCAAUUAUUUUACAGGUAAAGAAGUUGAAGCCCCGAAAGAGAAAGUAAUUCUUCCUUGUGUUCCUGUGAGAACUGGUUUGUGCUAAGCCACCCACACUGUCUCACCCAUCCCUGCUUAUGUGAUCAGCAGCUCAAGUUUGCAAAAUGGCUAGUCUGAGCCAAGGGCACAGUGCCACAGGGCAGAAGAGAGUGAGGAGAAACUGGAAUCACAAUUGGAUAAAACAGAAACAUGUGCCAUUAGUCAGAUGGUCAGUGGUCAACUCCGAGAUCAAUGGACUUAGGGGGAACCGGAGGCAGUGCAAAUUUAAGAAGGCAGUGGGGACAAGUUUGGAGGCCAUGGCAAUCAGGACCCUGAAGGACACAAAUAAGGUUCUUUGCUGCACUCUACCAUCUUACUAUGUCACCCAGCCAGUCAUCUGACAGAUGUAAGCAGGGAAAUAAUAAAAAAAAAAAAAAGAAGAGCCUCCA
rnacentral:lncRNA from 1 species